AAGCGCCCGCGACCAGACUUGCGGACGGCUGAUCCGCCGGCGUUCGCGCCGGCGCACUCGGCCGGGCCGCAGGCCAGCACCGGCCCGGGCGGCUGGAGAAAGGCCGCGGGAAUGUGGCUCCCCCGGGAGUGUUAUAGCCCGCGGCGCAAUGCAGCCCGCCUGGGCCGAGGACCGCGCUCUGCUAGGAUGCUGGCGUAAUGGUUGUAAGCGA
rnacentral:rRNA from 1 species